rnacentral:ncRNA from 1 species
AUACAGACGUAAAAAAGAGGAGUAGUUAUUUUUAAAUUUCAAAGAGAGAGUUUAUAUGGUGAAAAAACUUAAAUUUAAAUUUAAUGAAGGUAGCUUUUUAGUUUUCUUAUAAAGAACGUUGACUUACGUUAUAGUCUUAAGAGUCAUUUUUAAUGAAAAUUAGGUGGUACCGCGAAAAACUUUCGUCCUAUGU